UUCAAUUAUAAGUUAUGUUAUGAAAGUUCAGAACAAAGAAGGUGGAGAAUAACUCCUCCAAAUAGAUCCUACAAAACUAAAAGUAAUGCAAGUGAUAAGAAUGAUGAGGGAACUAAGAUAUUCGACUUUUUCGAAGAACAUUGAGAGGACUUCUUCGAGUUAUUAUUUAGCACAAUUGCCAUUUGAUCCAAAAACAGAAAAGAUCUUGCACUUUCACAAGUAGUUUUUUAUAUCUUCUCUCUAUUCGCAUCAUACAAGUUUGAACAGUAUGUAAUGGAUUAUUUGUUCCAAAUAAAUUCAGAUUACUAUUUUAAAAAUUCUACGUUUGCAAACAUAGUGGGGCUGUGACUCAUGCAAAAGAAAAUCACCUGAUUGUUCCAUUGCAUUGAUUGUAAAACAUAAGGAAUUGGUGGCAACAUGCAGGUGAUAAAAUGCAAUAUCGGAUGAAAAAGAUGCAAAAAGAAGAAAGAAACACUGAAAAUCAGCAUUAAUAUUAGAUAGCUUAAAUAUUAAGCUUCUUGCAUAAUGUCAGGCAACAGACAGAAGAAACAAGAAAUAAAAGAUAUUCUCCCAUAAAGGGCAAAGAAUAGAUAUUACUUUCUGCUCUUAUUGGUGAAUAUCUUUUAUUUCCUGUUCCUAUUGCCUGUUAUUGCCUGGCAUUGUGCAAGGGGCUUUAGAGACAGGGAUAUAUAUAAAAUAUAUAUAUUAUAUAUA